rnacentral:rRNA from 1 species
UACGUAGGGGCUAGCGUUAUCCGGAAUUACUGGGCGUAAAGGGUGCGUAGGCGGUCUUUCAAGCCAGAAGUGAAAGGCUACGGCUCAACCGUAGUAAGCUUUUGGAACUGUAAGACUUGAGUGCAGGAGAGGAGAGUGGAAUUCCUAGUGUAGCGGUGAAAUGCGUAGAUAUUAGGAGGAACACCAGUAGCGAAGGCGGCUCUCUGGACUGUAACUGACGUUGAGGCACGAAAGCGUGGGGAGCAAACAGGAUUAGAUACCCCCGUAGUCCCUGAG